AAGCCAGCGAACAUCCUGGUUGACCUGGCCACCGGGCAAGCCAAACUGAUUGAUUUCGGCUGUGGCACCUACCUGCAAGAGACAGCCUACAUUCGCUUUGCAGGAACACCAUCAUACAGUCCCCCAGAAUGGACCCAUUUUGGCUGGUACUAUGGCAAGCCAGCUACCAUCUGGUCCCUGGGUAUCGUGCUGCACCAGAUGGUCUGCGGGGAGCACCCUUUCAGGAGGGACCAGAACAUCAGCUGGGACCAUCAGCUCUCGCUGCCACAACGGCUCUCUCCAGAAUGCCAAGAUCUGAUCAGGCGGUGUUUAUCCAUGCUGGACUGGGACAGACCCUCAUUAGAAGAGGUGUUCUGUCAUCCUUGGAUGCAGGAUAUUCAUCUGCCAUAGAAGAAGGGAGAGAGCCACAGGCACACUGUGCUGCAGGGCCCCGCUGGGGCCCUGGACAGAACCCUGACAGCCUGGUCGGAGCCCAGGGAAGGAGAAGGAGCCCCCAGAGAAGCUGUACCAGGUGGGGCUCCUGCUGCAGGAGACAGCGAGGAUCACAUCAAGGAUGACAGCCUCUUCCUGGACCUGGCCACUGAGGAAGCAUUCUGGUUGGUCCAGUCUGGAUCAGGAAGUGCUUGGGAGCAGCUGCGGCGUGGAUGGGCCGUGCCCUUGGAGCAGGCUGAGGACAUCGUUUGGGACCAGCUUUUCUUCCAGCCAUGGAUGGCAUGAGCCGGGCUCUGCGGAUGCUGAGGCUGCUCUGGGCUCUGCCACGGCUCUGCUGGAGCUCAGCAUCGGGCCGGAAUCAGCCAAAGAAGAAAUGGUGUCACCUGCAGCACAGACUUGCUUGAGCAUUUUGGCAACACAGCUCAAGUUUGCAGAGUGUACACCUCCAAGGGAAAACAUGACACCUCCCAAAAAUUAAACUUGUUUAAUACCUUCUGAAAUCAAAUCAAUCUGGGAUGACUCCAAAUGACAUUUUUCAGCUUGCUCAAGCUGUAGCUCAGCCCUUCUCUGA